rnacentral:rRNA from 1 species
AGCGAACGCUGGCGGCGUGCUUAACACAUGCAAGUCGAGCGAAGGUGUUUCAAGGGUAACCUUGAGAUACGCUUAGCGGCGGACGGGUGAGUAAUACGUGGAUAACUUACCUCUAGGCCUGGGAUAACCCCGGGAAACUGGGGCUAAUACCUGAUAAGACCACAUUGUCUACGGGCAAAGGGGUAAAAGGUGGCUGUGCAAACAGCUAUCGCCAAAAGAUAGGUUCACGUCCCAUCAGGCAGUUGGCGAGGUAAUGGCUCACCAAACCAAAGACGGGUAGCCGGCCUUGGCGGGUGAACGGCCACACGGGGACUGAGACACGGCCCCGACUCCUACGGGAGGCAGCAGUGGGGAAUAUUGGGCAAUGGGCGCAAGCCUGACCCAGCGACGCCGCGUUGGGGAAGAAGGCCUUCGGGUU